AGUGAACGCUGGCGGUAGGCCUAACACAUGCAAGUCGAACGGCAGCACAGUAAGAGCUUGCUCUUACGGGUGGCGAGUGGCGGACGGGUGAGGAAUACAUCGGAAUCUACUUUUUCGUGGGGGAUAACGUAGGGAAACUUACGCUAAUACCGCAUACGACCUACGGGUGAAAGCAGGAGAUCUUCGGACCUUGCGCGACUGAAUGAGCCGAUGUCGGAUUAGCUAGUUGGCGGGGUAAAGGCCCACCAAGGCGACGAUCCGUAGCUGGUCUGAGAGGAUGAUCGGCCACACUGGAACUGAGACACGGUCCAGACUCCUACGGGAGGCAGCAGUAGGGAAUAUUGGACAAUGGGCGAAAGCCUGAUCCAGCCAUACCGCGUGGGUGAAGAAGGCCUUCGGGUUGUAAAGCCCUUUUAUUAGGAAAGAAAAGCAGCAGGUUAAUACCCCGCUGUUCUGACGGUACCCAAAGAGUAAGCACCGGCUAACUUCGUG
rnacentral:rRNA from 1 species